rnacentral:rRNA from 1 species
GACGAACGCUGGCGGCGUGCUUAACACAUGCAAGUCGAACGGUGAAGCGCCUUCCUUUUUGGUGGGUGUGGAUGAGUGGCGAACGGGUGAGUAACACGUGAGUACCCUGGCCUCUUCUUUUGGAUAACCGCAUGAGAGUGUGGCUAAUACGGGAUAUUCUGGGUCUGUCGCAUGAUGGGUAUGGGAAAGAUAUUGUGUAGGUGGGGGAUGGGCUGGAGGCCUAUCAGCUUGUUGGGGGGGUGAUGGCCUAUGACGGCGGUGCGGUUUGGCCGGCUUGAGAGGGUGGACGGUCACAGUGGGAGUGAGACCCGAUCGGGACUCCUACGGGAGGCAGCAGUGUAGGGGAGUGAACAGUGGGCGCAAGCCUGAUGCGGGCAGGCGGCGUGAGGGGUGGAGGCGUGCGGGUUAUGAACCUCUUUCGCCUGUAAAGCGGUCCUGCCUCUUUUGUAGGUGGGUUGACGGUAGCUGGUUAAGAAGCGCCGGCUAACUACGUG